rnacentral:lncRNA from 1 species
CAUAUUUAUUGCUCCAAAUUUUUUUUAUUGUUGGAAUAUUGAUAUAUAUGAAGACGCAAUAGUACAAAAUGAACGGCCUCAAUGGUGUAACAAAGGAAAUUUAUGUGUUUCUUUCAUUGAAUAAUUAAGUAAUAAAAUAAGGACUAGUUCUUUACAAGAAAUAUAUAUAAAUAUUCAAAAUGAAAUACUGCUUCCUUUCCCUGAAUGUUUCAAACACGAAAAAUAUGAAUAGUACAAACAUAUAUAUAAAUUGUAUACUAUAAUAUUACCGGGAAAACUAAAACCGAAGCUAAGCUUGUCCUCAUUUUAAAAAUAAUAUAAAUAAUGUUUCUUAAAGGAAAUAAUUUAUAUGUAAGUAGGAUAGAGCAGUGGCUGAGUAGGUUCAAAAUCAUCCUUGCUACCCAAGUUCGAAUCCCCACAGCUAAGUUUUAACCACUAGAGUUGAUAUGGCGGUUCAGNNNNNNNNNNNNNNNNNNNNNNNUCAGCGUCAUGUCCCUUAAACAAAAACUCGAAGAGCUUCUUGAGUGGAGCAAACUCUGUGGCCAGUACUUUGGAAAAAAAAAAAAAGUAGGAUAGAGUGAAAGAAUGUAAAGAAGAGCCAUGCAUGCGUACCCUAAAAAGAAUUAGGGAUUGUUUUUUGGAUAAACGUUGGAAGAUUGGAGAGCUUCUUGAGAGGGCAAGAUGAAAGUGGAACAAUUGGUAUAUUUUGGCAAUUGCAAAUUUCAAUCAUGU